rnacentral:SRP_RNA from 1 species
CGUGUCCCUCACACGGCAUAGACUUAUUUGACAUCCCCAGGGUCGGAAGACAGCAAGGAAGGAUAGCGUUUAUGGGUGUGUGGGGGGCCUAAAU